rnacentral:tRNA from 1 species
AAGGAUUUAAGUUAAAUAAACCUAUAGUCUUCAAAACUAAGAAUAAAGAUCGGUCUUUAAGCCUUA